GGCACAAGGUGGCUUCACCUCCAGAUUCUGCUCUGAACUUUCUGAAAAGAACCGGUGACGCAGGGCAGCAUGCCGGAGUCCAGCAGGCCGGGAUCCCAGACCCGGGUCAGGACCCUGCGCCAGGCUCUGAGGUCCAACGGCUGCUCCUCUGCUGCCUUGCUCUUCAGAGCAUGAGCAGCUCUUUGCUUUCAUCCUCCAGGUACAGCCACUAAUGAAAUGAUGAAGUGGUUCUAGCUGAACCUAACAUCUCUGGACGCAGCACAGAACCAGAGGACAGCUGCUGACAGCCCAGCUCCAGAGCUGAGACCACCUUCAGGACGCUUCAGAGACAUCGCUUCUCAGAGAUGGGACAAGGUCAGCGGUGCGACUGGAGGACGGUGGAGUUCUGGAUUCAGGCUGAAAUUUAAUUCUGGAACAAUCUGGAGAGAAAACCUGGCAGAGUGAGACAGAGACAGUGAUGGAGGAAACAGUGGAACACAUCUGGUUUCUAUGUGGGACAUGAACUCACUGAGUCUGGUCCCCACGUGCUCAGGUCUGGCUCAGAUCCUGGAGUCCAGGCAAUGAGAGGUUAAAGAAAGAGGAAAUCCACUAAAGUAAAGGAAACACUCUCAAACAUACAUGUGUAGAAAUGCUGAUAUCAUGACCUCAACCUCCAGGUAGAUCUGGAUCUGGCGCUGGCUGCAGACCUCCAGUCAGUCCUGACUGGCUGAAGAGCUGAGAGACUCCGCUCAGUAACAGGCGGACGGAGUGCGAUGCUCAGGUCGGGACGUUUUCCUGGGUUGGUGUACGAACCAGAGAGCCAGGUGCAGCCCAGGCUUCCACAGGUCUGUUCUGCACUGCCAUCUGCUGGAAGACAGACUCCUGACCGUCAGCUCCACGCGCGCCUGCAUUACCUCCCCCCGCCGCACAGAGGAGCUGAACGGGUUGUACGUCUCUGGAGAAGUCCAGAGAAGCUCACUGACUGUACAGAGGACUUCAGCUGUCAGGUGUGUCUUCUACCGGGCGUCCCGGGCCUUCUGGUCUGUGUCCGGCGCUCUCUUCUGGACGCCUCGGUGUUUCUCCUGCAUGUUGCUUCUGCUGUCACAGGGCUGGUCAGGCAGGCAGAAAUGCUUUAGUCUUCCCAGAUAACUGAUGAAAGUGUCAUACCGUCCUCUUCCACUGGUGUCAUGGACAUCAACAACAACACUCAGUCCUCAGAUGGAGAUCUUUGGGGGGGGGGGAUGACAGGAAGGAAAGAUUUCAUCGGCAUGUUGCGCUGAGAUUAGACCUGGGGAAAGACCAAGGACAUGCUGGAGGGACGAUGUCUCUCAGCCGGCCUGGGAACGUCUCUGGAUCCUCCAGGAAGAGGAAGGGUCUGGGGACAGGAGGUCUGGGCGUCUCUGCUUCCACUGCUGCCCCCGAUCUGGCCCGCAGGCCUUACGUUUGACACCCCUGGCACAGAGAGCGAGCAUAGAGCUGUCCAUGGUGCUGAAGCAUCCACUUGAUGCACUUGUGUUAAAUGAACAGCAGUUAUCCACACUGAAGACACCUGUGUGUUUUGUGUUGAUGAAAUGUGAUUAAA